rnacentral:lncRNA from 1 species
CUAAGUGUUGACCUGUCAUGGGAGGUGUUCUCACCUUCUCUAGGCGCGUUAGAAGGUGAAUUUUGACGAAAAUUUCCGAGAAAAUAGUCAUCUUCCCCAAUUAAUCAAUGAAAGGAUUCAAUCUCAAUUGACCUCCAUUAAUGGCAUUGCUAGUGCUUUCGUUUGUUCUCCCUCUUUUGCUGCUCGACCAUCAGCCACCACUGUCGCCGCCUCCGGCGAAAUCCAAACCACCAACAAAGCCUCGUUCUCCUCUUCCCCUCUCCUCUUAUCUCUCUCCCAUUCCNNNNN